UACGAAGGGGGCUAGCGUUGCUCGGAAUUACUGGGCGUAAAGGGCGCGUAGGCGGAUGUCUAAGUUGGGGGUGAAAUCCCGGGGCUCAACCUCGGAACCGCCUUCAAUACUGGAUAUCUUGAGUUCGGGAGAGGUGAGUGGAAUGCCGAGUGUAGAGGUGAAAUUCGUAGAUAUUCGGCGGAACACCAGUGGCGAAGGCGACUCACUGGCCCGAUACUGACGCUGAGGCGCGAAAGCGAGGGGAGCAAACAGGG
rnacentral:rRNA from 1 species